GCGGAUAUGGCGUAAUUGGUAGCCGCGCUAGAUUUAGGAUCUAGUGCCGUAAGGCGUGAGGGUUCGAGUCCCCCUAUCCGCACCA
rnacentral:tRNA from 1 species